GUCCACGCCCUAAACGUUGAUUACUCGUUGUUGGCGAUAUACUGUCAGCGACUAAGCUAAAGCGUUAAGUAAUCCACCUGGGAAGUACGACCGCAAGGUUGAAACUCAAAGGAAUUGACGGGGGCCCGCACAAGCGGAGGAGCAUGUGGUUUAAUUCGAUGAUACGCGAGGAACCUUACCUGGGCUUGAAAGUUAGUGACCGCCUCUGAAAGGAGGCUUCUCUUCGGAGCACAAAACUAGGUGCUGCAUGGCUGUCGU
rnacentral:rRNA from 1 species